CCUACGGGUGGCAGCAGUGAGGAAUAUUGGUCAAUGGGAUAGCUCCUGAACCAGCCAAGCCGCGUGAGGGAAUACGGCCCUAUGGGUUGUAAACCUCUUUUGUCGGAGCACAAAACCCGGGACGUGUCCCGGACUGCGUGUAUCCGACGAAAAAGCAUCGGCUAACCCCGUGCCAGCAGCCGCGUGAAUACGGAGGAUGCGAUCGUUAUACGGAUUUAUGGGGUUGAAAGGGUGCGUAGGCGGUCCGUUACGUCAGCGGUAAAAUUGCGGGGCUCAACCCCGUCGAGCCGUUGAAACUGGCAGACUGGAGUGGGCGAGAAGUACGCGGAAUGCGCGGUGUAGCGGUGAAAUGCAUAGAUAUCGCGCAGAACUCCGAUUGCGAAGGCAGCGUACCGGCGCCAGACUGACGCUGAGGCACGAAAGCGUGGGGAUCGAACAGGAUUAGAUACCCGGGUAGUC
rnacentral:rRNA from 1 species